GGCAAUGCCCGCAAGGGUGACCCAGCAACGCCGCGUGGAGGAUGAAUGUCGUAAGAUUGUAAACUCCUGUUAGAGGGGAAGAAUAGUACCGGUUGGACCGGUAUAUGACUGUACCCUCAGAGAAAGCCCCGGCUAACUACGUGCCAGCAGCCGCGGUAAUACGUAGGGGGCAAGCGUUGUCCGGAUUUACUGGGUGUAAGGGGCGCGCAGGCGGGAUAAAAAGUCAGUGGUGAAAUCCUACAGCUUAACUGUAGAACUGCCUUUGAUACUUUUAUUCUUGAGUUCGGGAGAGAGAGACGGAAUUCCAGGUGUAGUGGUGAAAUACGUAGAUAUCUGGAAGAACACCAGUUGCGAAGGCGGUCUCUUGGUCCGACACUGACGCUGAGGCGCGAAAGCGUGGGGAGCAAACA
rnacentral:rRNA from 1 species